rnacentral:rRNA from 1 species
AGUGAACGCUGGCGGCAGGCCUAACACAUGCCAGUCGAACGGCAGCACAAGAGAGCUUGCUCUCUGGGUGGCGAGUGGCGGACGGGUGAGGAAUGCAUCGGAAUCUGCCCAUUUGUGGGGGAUAACCUCGGGAAACCGGGACUAAUACCGCAUACGACCUACGGGUGAAGGCAGGGGAUCUUCGGACCUUGCGCAGAUGGAUGAGCCGAUGCCGGAUUAGCUAGUUGGAGGGGUAAAGGCCCACCAAGGCGACGAUCCGUAGCUGGUCUGAGAGGAUGAUCAGCCACACUGGGACUGAGACACGGCCCAGACUCCUACGGGAGGCAGCAGUGGGGAAUAUUGGACAAUGGGCGCAAGCCUGAUCCAGCCAUGCCGCGUGUGUGAAGAAGGCCUUCGGGUUGUAAAGCACUUUUGUUGGGAAAGAAAAGCAGCCGGUUAAUACCCGGUUGUCAUGACGGUACCCAAAGAAUAAGCACCGGCUAACUUCGUG